GAUGAACGCUGGCGGCGUGCCUAAUACAUGCAAGUCGAGCGAACAGACGAGGAGCUUGCUCCUCUGACGUUAGCGGCGGACGGGUGAGUAACACGUGGAUAACCUACCUAUAAGACUGGGAUAACUUCGGGAAACCGGAGCUAAUACCGGAUAAUAUAUUGAACCGCAUGGUUCAAUAGUGAAAGACGGUUUUGCUGUCACUUAUAGAUGUAUCCGCGCCGCCUUAGCUAGUUGGUAAGGUAACGGCUUACCAAGGCAACGAUGCGUAUCCGACCUGAGAGGGUGAUCGGCCACACUGGAACUGAGACACGGUCCAGACUCCUACGGGAGGCAGCAGUAGGGAAUCUUCCGCAAUGGGCGAAAGCCUGACGGAGCAACGCCGCGUGAGUGAUGAAGGUCUUCGGAUCGUAAAACUCUGUUAUUAGGGAAGAACAAAUGUGUAAGUAACUAUGCACGUCUUGACGGUACCUAAUCAGAAAGCCACGGCUAACUACGUG
rnacentral:rRNA from 1 species